rnacentral:rRNA from 1 species
GACGAACGCUGGCGGCGUGCUUAACACAUGCAAGUCGAACGGUAAGGCCUUUCGGGGUACACGAGUGGCGAACGGGUGAGUAACACGUGGGUGAUCUGCCCUGCACUUCGGGAUAAGCUUGGGAAACUGGGUCUAAUACCGGAUAGGACCACGGUCUGCAUGGAUUGUGGUGGAAAGCUUUUGCGGUGUGGGAUGGGCCCGCGGCCUAUCAGCUUGUUGGUGGGGUGAUGGCCUACCAAGGCGACGACGGGUAGCCGGCCUGAGAGGGUGUCCGGCCACACUGGGACUGAGAUACGGCCCAGACUCCUACGGGAGGCAGCAGUGGGGGAAUAUUGCACAAUGGGCGCAAGCCUGAUGCAGCGACGCCGCGUGGGGGAUGACGGCCUUCGGGUUGUAACCGUCUUUCUAGCAGGGACGAAGGGUGGACUGACGGUACC